CUGUUUACUAUCUUAUUACUUCAGGGUGUCUUUAUUUCCAAAAGUGUGAUGCUGUGGUCAAUAAUUUAUGUUCCUGAGGCAAUAGCGUAUCCUCCCUAAGGAAUGUUUCUCAGUCUCUUUUCACGAUUUCACCAUCCCUCCACCGCAACAGUAAUGGUUUUGCCAGAAAGAAGUGCAUAUUUAAAGAAAAAAGGAUGGAAGAGGUCUUUGCAUUUACACAUGCUAAUUUAUAUCGGACUUGGAACAUAUUUAAGAAGUCUUGCAUCAACCAGCCAUUGAAACAAAAGAUGCAUUCAGACAGAGAACUGUCCCCGCACU